AUGUUAGAAGAAAAGGAAGAAGUUCGGGUCAAAGAAGGAAGGAAUAUAAACAAAAGUGAAAUAAUACAACUAUCAGAAAAUAUGUGUGAUAAUACAUCUUCUGAUGCUGCUGCUGGAUUAACCCAGGGAAGAAAGAUUGAGAAAAUGUAUCCUCAGCAAUUUCCCAAGAAGGUGAAGGAAGAGCAUGAUGGAUGCACCUUAAAACAAGAAAAUGAAGAGAAAAGUAAUAAUAAUAUGCUGUACAAAAUAACUAAGGAAGAGUUGGAAAGACAACAGGGACCAUAUGUGGGAGAAGUUAAAGCCAAACAACAACUUGAACUAACUGUUCAGUCAUUAGAGAUGGAACUGAAGACCUUAAGAAUACUCAAAAUCAGGAUUUUCAUAAUCAUGAAAAAAAAUGAUAGAUCUUAUGCAUGAAAAUGGCAUUUUGAAGACAGAUAUUGCUAUACUCAGACAGGAAAUAGAGACAAUCAAAAAGGACAGCCUUGAAAAAGAAAAUAAAUAUUUUAAGAACAUUAAAAGUAUUAAAGAAAGAAACGCUGAGCUUGAAAAGAGUACAAAAUUCAAUGAGGAAAUGACAACAAAAACAGUAUCUCAGUAUCAACAACAGCUUAAUGAUCUGAAAGCUGAAAACACAAGGCUCAAUUCUGAACUGGAAAAGAAAAAAGAAAACAAAGGAAGACUGGAAGCCAAAAUUGAAUCCUAUUGGUCUAGACUGGCUGCUGCUAUAAGUGAACACAAUCAAAGGGUGAAAACAGAAAGAGACCUCAAGCUUUCUUUACAGAUAGAAUUGAGUGAUAUUUCUGAACUAAAAGUGAGAAUGAGUUUCUUAUGGAACAACUUUCUAAAAUGCAAAUUACAUUCAAUACCUUAAAAGACAAGUUUCAUAAGACAAGAGAUACUCUCAGAAAAAAAGACAUUGGCUUAAGAAACUGUACAAAAGGACCUAAGCAAAACAGAACAGCAACUAAAGGAAAUGAAGGAGAUGUAUCAAAAUGCAGAAGUUAAACAGAAUAAAUCCACUGGAAAGCAGAACUAUGUAGAAGAGAGAAUAUAUGAAUUACAGCAUGAAAAUCUGUGGCUUCAACAGCAACUAGAUGAUGCUCAUCAGAAAGGGGAUAAUAGAAAAAGAGUAAUUAAUGUCAAAGGAGGCUUUAUUGAUCAUGGAAAGGAAGGUUUUCUGCUAGAAGAAAAAAAUAAGUUAAUGAAUAAAUGUAAUCUUUUAAAAGAAAGUCUGUUUCAAUAUGAGAAAGAGAAAGCAGAAAGAGAAGUAUCAAGGAAGAUAAAUACUUUCAAACUUCUGGAAAGAACAUUUAA